rnacentral:rRNA from 1 species
UACGGGGGGGGCAAGCGUUGUUCGGAAUUACUGGGCGUAAAGGGCUCGUAGGCGGCCAACUAAGUCAGACGUGAAAUCCCUCGGCUUAACCGGGGAACUGCGUCUGAUACUGGAUGGCUUGAGGUUGGGAGAGGGAUGCGGAAUUCCAGGUGUAGCGGUGAAAUGCGUAGAGAUGUGGAGGAACACCGAUGGCGAAGGCAGCCUCCUGGGCUAGUACUGACGCUCAUGCACGAAAGCCAGGGGAGCGAACGGG